rnacentral:lncRNA from 1 species
CACCGUGAGGGCGUCGUCGGCGGAGGCCGAAGCCGCCGGCCGCCGCGCGGUCCUUGGCCUCAUGGCCAGCGGAGUCGUCGGCAGCGCGUUCGCUCAGGUGGUGCACGCCGGCACCGUCGCGGCCAUCAAGGUUGGCCCGCCGCCUCCGCUCUCCGGUGGACUCCGUGAGUGCCUCCAGCUGCUCGUUCUAUACUCGCUUUAUAGUAGACAGAAGACUAUAUAAUGAUGAUUUUACGCCUGAUCUGAUGGAUGAUUUGGGUGUGUGUGUGUCAGCCGGCACGGACAACUCGGACGAGGCAAGGGACUUCGACCUGCCCCUGAAGAACCGGUUCUACCUGCAGCCGCUGCCACCGGCGCAGGCGGCGGUCCGGGCCAAGGAGUCGGCCCAGGACAUCCUCAACCUCAAGCCGCUCAUCGACAAGAAGCAAUGGCCGUACGUCAUGAACGACCUCCGCCUCAGGGCCUCCUACCUGCGCUACGACCUCAAGACCGUCAUCUCCUCCAAGACCACCAAGGAGGAGAAGAAGGACCUCAAGGACCUCACCGGCAAGCUCUUCGCCACCCUCGACGGGGUAACAAACCAUCAUCUCGCAGUUUCAAACCUGAACAUUUUCGCAAGAAGAAUUGCAGGACUAACAGGUGUGAGCUUCUCCGUUUUUUCUUUCUUGCAGCUUGAC